AGAGUCAAAUAAAAGCGUGGGGACAAUUUAUUAGAAUUUAAAAGUAAAACCCCAAGGAGUGGAAAGCUGUAAUUCUCUAAGCUGCCUGGAAGGGAGGAGGAGAAUGGAGAAGAGAGGGAACAGAAGCCAUGCUGCUUGAGAUAAAGCAGCUUGGAGGUCAGCCACCUGGCAGCAGGCAGGCGUUGGAUAGGAAGGACAACUUUAGAAAAAGAGUUCAUUUGAGAGUUUAAGAGCAUUCGUAGCUUCUGAAAUCAUCAAACAGAAAAACAAGAGUAGAAAAAGAAAUAGUUAUACCCUUUGAAUUGGGUCUAAUAAAGGUGGCCAGUCAGAGCUGAACCUCAGAGAGGCUUGCAGGGACAGCACAAGGAGGCAGGAAUCCUGGGCAGGAAAGACAUAGAGGUGAACUUACUCUUGUAGGGGUGAUUCCUUAGCCAAAUACCUGACCGCUACACUGGAUUAGCCGUUAGGGAAGCAGAGACAGGCACACUCUAUAGGCACACUCUAAUUGUUACAAAGUUAGUGUGCCACCCCACACCACGUAGAAGAAGACGGUCAUCUUGGAUUCGCCAUAAGGUUCCUCCCCUGUCAUAUGACUUGGUCUUGAUUUCACAUUCUAUAACUCAUCACAAGGAUCAUGCACCCGUAUUUCAGCAAAGAUGCACACCAUCCCAACUCACAUGGGAAAGACAGCCAUAUCAGCUUCAGUUGCACAUCUUGUCACUUAUUGCACGGGCCAUGAAGCCCCUUCCACCCCUUCAUCCUCAGUUCUGUUGGUAUCUUUUCAGGAACCAAGUGACAUUUUACUGGAAAGAUGGAAAGAAACAUCUAUUGAUGCCAGACAAGCCAUUAACUGUAGAUGAAAGAAGCAAUUUUACUCAAGUCCAGUUUAGCAAACCAGUAAGUUUACUGGGAUUCCUUGUAAGAACCUGGUUCAGAGACUACUGGCAGGAGGAUGAGUGAUUUAAAGUUCCCUCACAGACAGCCUUACCCCAUCCUGUAUCGUGACACAUGGAAUCUGAAUCCUUGGAGAGUCCUGAACAACUUGUAGGUGCCUCAGAUAGCUACAGCAUCUCCUUUCUCUAGGAACUAUCUACUGUUUUUAUAGUUCUGAGAGGGGCCUUGUGAAUACUACAACUUCCUGAGCUUGGUAAAUUUCAUUAGCUUCCCAGUCUUAUGAAGCUGCUUGUAGCCUGGAGGAGGCUUCAAGUUUCAAGUUAAUGGACACAUAAAAGAGUGAGGCUCUAACUGAGUCCUCCAGUGUUAGGUUCCUUGUAUUUUUCCACUGUUUCGGUAUCCCAGAUCCUAGCACUUUCUAGUUGGAUUUCUUCAGCCAAUGCAUAUUUAUCUUUCUGGAAUGAAGGACAGUGUGGCAGCUUCUCUGCCGGUGAUGAGGGAGCUAGCGUUAGGUAUUCAACCUUCACCCAGUCUGGCUGAGAGUUGUUCAGCCUGGUUUCACGCUCUGCUGUUCUGGUUUUGUUCACCUGGCUGCCAGUGUUUUGGAAUUCUGUGCCAGCAUCAGCCUGCCUUUGCUUGUUCCCUUUGCAGGAAGUUUGGUUUCCAUUAUUCUUAUCCGAGAGAGUCACGAUCCACCCAUCUGCUUUAAUUCCUCCAAAGCUUCACUGACGUUUCCCACCCGCAGUUAUUCCAGCCUAACUUCCUUGUCUUAUGGGUUUACUACGGGUGUUUUGAGGGCAUUUAGGAAUAAAUAUAUAUGCUAAAUCUGUCUCAUAUAACUGUAGUUUAUUCAUUAUUUUUAGAAGUUAAAAACCCCACAUAUUCUUUCUAUUUUGAAAUUAAGAACUGAAUCUUACAAAAUUUUAUAAUCUUUUGUUCUCUCAGGUUUAGGAAGAAAGGUUGCUUACCUUCAGUCUUGAUAGCUGGGGUUUAAAGGAACAUGUACCAAGAAAUUAUGUCUCAUUUGUGCCUACUGCUGAGAGCAUGGCACCAAAGAGGCACUAGGCUCAGCUUCUCUACCUUUGUACACUGCUAGCAUGUUCCCUUCUUCCCGUUUCCCCUCUCUGAGCCUCCUUAAUCCCCUACACAGUUAACACUUCUACUUUCAUGUCAUCUGUGCAUACGUGAUCAAAUGUACUCACAAAGUCUUUGGCCAACAAAUGAGUGGUAACACAAAGUGAUUAUCUCCAGAUUCCAGUGUGUAUGUAAACAACAGCUUCCUUAUCCACCCCUCUUUUUUUUUUUUUUAUAAACUUCAAUGUUUUUUGUUUUUUUCCCUCUUAUUUUUUUUUAUUACGUAUUUUCCUCAAUUACAUUUCCAAUGCUAUCCCAAAAGCCGC
rnacentral:lncRNA from 1 species